rnacentral:rRNA from 1 species
AGAGUUUGAUCCUGGCUCAGGACGAACGCUGGCGGCGUGCCUAAUACAUGCAAGUCGAACGAACCGCGACUAAGUGCUUGCACUAAGUCAAGGUGAGUGGCGAACGGGUGAGUAACACGUGGGUAACCUACCUCAUAGUGGGGGAUAACAGUCGGAAACGACUGCUAAUACCGCAUAGGACAUGGAAUCACAUGAUUCAGUGAGGAAAGGUGGCGCAAGCUAUCGCUAAGAGAUGGACCCGCGGUGCAUUAGCUAGUUGGUAGGGUAAAGGCCUACCAAGGCGAUGAUGCAUAGCCGACCUGAGAGGGUGAUCGGCCACAUUGGGACUGAGACACGGCCCAAACUCCUACGGGAGGCAGCAGUAGGGAAUCUUCCGCAAUGGACGCAAGUCUGACGGAGCAACGCCGCGUGAGUGAAGAAGGUCUUCGGAUCGUAAAGCUCUGUUGUUAGAGAAGAACAGCGCAUAGAGUAACUGUUAUGCGUGUGACGGUAUCUAACCAGAAAGCCACGGCUAACUACGUGCCAGCAGCCGCGGUAAUACGUAGGUGGCGAGCGUUGUCCGGAUUUAUUGGGCGUAAAGGGAGUGUAGGCGGUCUUUUAAGUCUGAUGUGAAAGCCCACGGCUCAACCGUGGAGGGUCAUUGGAAACUGGGAGACUUGAGUGCAGAAGAGGAGAGCGGAAUUCCAUGUGUAGCGGUGAAAUGCGUAGAUAUAUGGAGGAACACCAGUGGCGAAGGCGGCUCUCUGGUCUGUAACUGACGCUGAGGCUCGAAAGCGUGGGGAGCAAACAGGAUUAGAUACCCUGGUAGUCCACGCCGUAAACGAUGAGUGCUAAGUGUUGGAGGGGUUCCACCCUUCAGUGCUGGAGUUAACGCAAUAAGCACUCCGCCUGGGGAGUACGGCCGCAAGGCUGAAACUCAAAGGAAUUGACGGGGACCC